GGAAAUGUUGAUGCCUAUGAUCAUCGUUUUGUUUUAUUUUUCUGGUAUUCAUUGUUAUUCUAUUAAUGACGUUAACAGGUUAAAAGAGGAUCUCUUUAAGAAGUCAAAUUAUUCUGCAAUGACCCGUCCCAAGAUAAAUCAAUCUGAAAGAACAGAUAUUGAAAUAAAGAUGUAUUUGUCAAGACUGCUGGGAUUGGAUACACGGGAACAAGUUUUGAGAACAUCGGGAUUUUACGUCAUAGUUUGUAUUAUUAUUAUUUAUUCAGCAGUACACCCCAUAAUGAUAAGUAUACAGGGCCGUUUGUAUUAUAGUUCCAACCUAACAAAUAUUUGUCCCAGAUAGAAAAUCACAAUACAUUUGAUAUUGUAGGCUUCUUAAUAACCUGGAUAUUCCCAUCUAUAUCAAUAAGUUGCAUUCUACAUAUCUUUUAGUCUUGGACAGAUGAGCUACUCAGAUGGAAUCCCGACGAUUAUGGUGGUAUUCUCGAGAUAACUGUUCAACAAA